rnacentral:rRNA from 1 species
UACGAAGGGGGCUAGCGUUGUUCGGAAUUACUGGGCGUAAAGCGCACGUAGGCGGACUACUAAGUCAGGGGUGAAAUCCCGGGGCUCAACCCCGGAACUGCCUUUGAUACUGAUAGUCUCGAGUCCGAAGAGGUGAGUGGAAUUCCGAGUGUAGAGGUGAAAUUCGUAGAUAUUCGGAGGAACACCAGUGGCGAAGGCGGCUCACUGG